AAAGGGGGUUAUUGAGAGAUUGAGCAAUUGGAAUUACUUUCUUUUGGGUUAGUGGUUGAAUACGAGUGUUUGAAGAUUCCCAUUGCUUAGAUUGAGUUGGGGAAUCUAUCAUUUCUUUGGUGCUUAACCUAAUCCCUCAUUUAGAUCAUUAUCAGAAAUUUUUGUUCUUUUGCAUAUUGGCAACUGCGGCUUUUGAAUUUGAGCAUUGAUUGGACAUCAAAUAAACUGAAAUUUUGACCUUUGACGUAUUCCUUGAACUCGAACGUUUGGCGGGAAGUAAACAGGAAGAAGGAUCAUAUCAACAAUUGGUUAAUGUUGGAAAGUUUGGGGUUUUAGGUUUUGUGAACUUGGAAGGCUUAUAUUGUCGUAAAUUUGGACAUUUUGGGUGUCAUUGAAAUUAAGGUUGAGGGACUAAAUCUAAUUGCUACAGCUGAUAUGUGCAGUAAUUGGGAGUUUAUCUUAUGGCACCAACUGUUCCAAUAGACUUCACUGGACAGAAAGAAUCAAGGAAGUGUUUGCUUUCACAGAUGAUGGGAAAGUCACGUAAGUACUCUAAAGGGCAUUUAUCUGGUUUUGUUCCAGAUUACCGGCAUGCUGUCGAGACCAUUGCUGAAUCAGAGGGGUUUGGAAGCUCAGGACGGGUUGACACAGAAAUGACAGCUUCAGAGGAUUCAUGUGCGCCUAAAAGGAAAUGCAUUAGUCUGAAUGUGGAUGGUUAUGAUGGUUUUGGGGUGCCUAUGCAAGUGUUGCCGUUGUCACGGAUGUCACGGUCUGAAAGGAAGGAUUUGGAAUCGAGGCUGAAAUUGGAGCUCGAACAGGUGCGGAUCCUUCAGAAGAAAAUUUCUACCGUAAGUUCAAAUGUUGCUGUAUUAUCGCCAUCCAGUGAUAUUCGGAGUUGCAGUGAUGGCAAAAAGAGGCCCCCACUUGAUAGUUAUCAGAGAUCAUUGGAAUUUUCUGCGCCACAAGCUAAGAAAAGGGCUCCUCCUGGCCGCAAUGGUGCCCGCACAAAAAAAAGCAUGUCUGGGCCUGUCGAGCCAACGAAGCCGGUGGCUCCAGCAACCACUUCAAAUUCUAUGUUGUUGAAACAAUGCGAGCAGUUGCUAGGCCGCUUGAUGUCACAUCAGUUUGGUUGGGUUUUCAAUACUCCCGUUGAUGUGGUGAAGUUGAACAUACCAGAUUAUUUUACAGUCAUUAAGCAUCCAAUGGAUUUGGGCACUGUGAAGAGCAAGAUAACAUCAGGCAUAUACUCAUGUCCAUUAGGUUUUGCUGCUGAUGUGCGGCUUACUUUCUCAAAUGCUUUGACUUACAACCCACCUGGAAAUGAUUUUCACUUUAUGGCCGAGACGAUUAGUAAAUAUUUUGAACAGAGAUGGAAAGGCAUAGAGAAGAAGCUUCCAGUUACUACUGAUGUGCAGUCUUUGCCUUCAAGGGUGGCUCUUCGCGUGGAAACUGUGACUGCUGCACCUAUGCCACCCUCAAAAAAGAAGAAAAGUACACCAAAUGAUACUAGUGUCAAGCCUGAAGCUCUGAAACGCAUGUUGACUGAUGAGGAGAAGGCUAAACUGACCAUGGAGUUGGAGGCUUUGAUGGACGCAGAAGUGCCUCUAAAUAUUGUUAAUUUCCUACAAGAGCAUAGUCAUAGUGAAGGGCAAACCAAUGAUAAUGAGAUCGAGGUUGACCUUGAAGCUUUUAGUGAUGAUACCUUGUUUGCUUUACGGAAGCUUUUGGAUGACCAUCUGCUGGAGAAACAGAAAAGGCAGGCGAAAGCUGAACCUUGUGAAAUGGAGGUAUGUUCGUAGUUUUUUCUUAUAAUGUUUGCAUGUGUUAUCUGUUUAAAUUAGUUUUCCAACUGAAUAUGUGCAUGGAUUUCUUAUUGGUGUAUCACCUUUUUUUACUGCAGAUUCUUAAUGAGUCAGGAUUUAGCAACUCAUCAAUGCAACCAUGUAAAGGUUCAUUUUCAAUAACAGCUCUACGAAUAUUCAUUUAGUGAACUGUUAAAAAAAGGUCUUCUGCAAGGAACUUAUUUCUAACAGCACGGAUUGUUAUGACUUGCAUGUACCCAGGCAAUGACCCAGGCGAUGAGGAAGUGGAUAUUGUUGGUGGGAACGAUGCUCCUAUUUCAAGCUUUCCUCCAGUGGAGAUAGAGAAAGAUCCAGCUCACAGAAACAGUAAAUGCAGUAGCUCAAGUAGCUCCAGUAGUGAAUCAGGCUCUUCAUCCAGUGGUUUGUGUUUCUACCUACUUUUCAUUUAUGUAGGUUUAUAAAUUGUUUUCAAUGUUCUAGUUUUGGAGCUUGUUAGACAGAGGAUAUGCUGUUGAGAAGUACAUAUUUCCUCCUAUGCAAAUUAUUAUUUUACUAAAUGCCCUGUUUCUGUCUCUGUCUCACACACACACACGCAUAGAUACACAUGAAGUCUGAGGUGCAGCUUGAGAGUAAUAUUACAGUCCAUGAUUGUUAUCCCUGUCUGCCUUGACCAUUGCAUGAUAUGAUUGUUAUCCCUGUCUCCCUAAGCCAUUCAUUUUAGUGUCAACUGUCUUCUAUUAUUGUCUAGCUGUUCUGCUUCCUAUAAAGGCUAUGUUUUGCAUUACCAUAGUGUUAAAUUGGAACAUGGUCUUCUCAGCAGUUAAAGAAAAUGUUUGAAAUUCUAUCGCCCUUGUCUUGGUGGCUACACCUCUUUGCUGUGUAUGUUGCUUGCUUGAUAGGUUAUGUUUUGCAUUGCCAUAGUGUAAACUGGAACUUGGUCUUCGCAACAAUUAAAGAAAAUAAGUGAAAUUCAAUUGUACCGAGUAGUAAUUAAUGCUUUAGAACCUUUGCCUUGGUUGCAGCACCUCGUUGUUGUGUAUGUUUCAGUUUGAGACACUUUUUUAUGUGAAUCCAUUAGUUCUACAUUGAGUUGAUAUCAUUGAAUUUGCAUGUCUUUUUAGGAGUAAGAGGUGGCAUCUUAAUCAUUCUGAAACUGGUAUUUCUGAUAUACAAUAGUACAUGUAAUUUCAAUGGCACUUCAAGAGGCUCUUUUGUCAUUUUGAUGUGAGAGUUAGUAAUUAGGUUAUUGUGUUUUUAAAGAAAAAAAAUGGAAAGAAUGUGCGCAUGUUUUUGUCAAUUAACCAUUAUAAUGUUGACUUAGAUUUUCUGGAGAAAGUGUGGAUCACUUGAUUUGGAAUGCUGGUGUUGUUUUCUUUCUCCCAGUUUGUUAGAAUUAUGUCUACUCAUCUUGUAAAAAAGGAAUAAGGGUAAUGUAAGUUAUAUCCUUCUAGUUAAGGAAUAGGUGUAUCUUACUUGAUGUGAGUGAACAGUUGACUUCAUUUAGUGACUAGAACUUUUUGGAAAGGACUAGACCCCCAAUGCUGUAAUAGAUGUGUUGCAAAUACUGAGAUAUGAUAUGGUCCUAGCGGAUAGUGAAAUAAGUUUACAACAUAAAAGUGACUCUUACAAAAUCUGAAAAAAUUUAGAUUUUAAAAGUUCUACAAUUAUCUUGAACACGUUUAUUCCUUCAUGGUAUAUGAUGGGGUGGAGUUGUUGCAGUGUGCCCUCAUUAGUUUUAUCUCUUAGUAUGUAUCUUGUACUUAUGUGACACUAUAAAUUGAAGCAUACAAAAAAGUUUGUACAUUAUUGUUUGAAGAGACUCUUAUACGUUAUUUUAAAUUAAUGUCUUCCCUGCAUGCAUGCUAUGGGGCCAGACCAAUAAAUACAAGAUAUGAGUUGUUUUCCAAGGCUUACAGUAUUUAAAAAGUUUGAAUCAAAAUAUAUUGUGUUAUUGGUGAUCUUCCUGUAUGGUUUGCUUUGACAAGCCAAAGAAGUGAUUUCAGGAAUAACUGUGUAGCCUCCUAUGAAACUAUAAGAUACUUGUGUUAUCACAAUGGUUUUCUUGAAUGUUCCAGCAUUUUGUUCCAAAUAGAAUGACUCGUAUUUUUACAAUUUUGGGUGUUGCUCACAUGAUAUAAUUUCUUCACAGACUCCGACUCUGGCAGUUCUUCUGAAAGUGAAUCAGAUGAUGCUAAAGUUCCAGCUUCAUUUGGUGGAGGAAAGGUAUCAUCUUGUAAAAUUUUUAAACCUGGUUCUUCUGCUUUGUGUGGAGUUAAAUUCUCACCCAUCAAUCUCUCUCUCCCUCUCUCUCUCUCUCUCUCUCUCUCUCUCUCUAUAUAUAUAUAUAUAUAUAUAUAUUUGAGCCGCCAUACCCUCUCCCCCCACUGUAUCCUUCUGUUUGUUUGUAUGAGUUGUGGAAAAUAUUUCUUACAUCUUCAUUUGGCAGGAAAAUGUGGGUACUGGAGCAAAUUCAGACCAAAAGAGAAAUGAUAUUGGGGAUUCAGAAAUUGGCAAUGGUGAGUUGAGAAUUUAUGCUGCAUCUUUUACUUAUUGGAAUAGGUAGUUCAGGAGUGUUCUCUAAAAACCUCUGUCAUGACCCUUGUGCAGAUUCAAUAAAUGGGGUGGCCCCACUGGAUCAGGACUCCGGGUCUAAACCAAUUUCUGUUGAGGAGGGUGGACAUAGAGAGGGUAAGCAUGAAUAAUCAUCAAGAAAAAUUGUCUGCUCUAAAUUUUGGGGUACAAUCUUACAAUUCAUGCUGUAACAUCGUAGGGGAGAGUGCUCCAUCUGAGAGGCAAGUCUCCCCCGAUAAGCUCUACCGUGCAGCUUUAUUGCGGAAUAGAUUUGCUGACACAAUACUAAAAGCCCGAGAAAAGGCACUAGAAAAGGUCGGUUUCCACUUGCCACAUUGGGCAACCUACUAUUCAUUUUCCUUGAUGUGCCCAUCCAAAAUCUUCUUUGCAUUUUGCAUUUGAGAUGUGGUCAGUUCAUCUGAUAUUUGUGGUUCAGGGUGAAAAGCUGGAUCCAGAAAAAUUGCGAAUUGAAAGAGAGGAACUUGAAAAGCGGCAAAAAGAAGGUUUGGCUUUCAAAAUUUGAGUUAUCUGAGAUAAGAUGUGGCAUUUUGUGCAGUAGAAGUCAAUGUGGCCAUCAGUUUUGCAGUCGUUUAAAAUAUUCAAAUUUUCUUGUGUGUCAUUAGAGAAAGCACGUUUACAAGCUGAGGCCAAAGCUGCAGAAGAGGCUCGAAAGAAGGCUGAAGCAGAAGCUGCAGCCGAAGCUAAAAGGCAGAGGGAACUAGAGAGAGAAGCUGCACGUCAGGCAUUGCAAAUGGUAAGGGUGGAUGUAUUAUUAUGUUGGUGGAAGCAUUCUACAACCUUCUCUUAAUUAAACGACAGCUGAUGAAUAUCUGGCUUUAUGCAGAUGGAAAAGACUGUUGAAAUUGAGAAUAGUCAGUUUAUGGAAGAUCUAGAAAUGUUUAGGGCUGUUGAUGAUGAACAUGUGCCAAAUUUCACGGAGGAGACUAGCCCAGAGCAUUCUCAGAAUGAGCUUGCCAGGCUGGGUAGUUUCAAGCUACAAGGAAGUAGUAAUCCCUUAGAGCAACUUGGUUUGUUCAUGAAGGCGGAUGAUGAUAUAGAGGAAGAAGAAAUCGAACCUCCCCAGAGUGCUCCAGAAUCAGAACCCGAACCUGAACCAGAACUCGAACCUAAACCCGAACCAGAAGCAGCAAAUGAUGCCAUUGAAGCAAAUGAUGCCGUUGAAGCAAAUGACUUUGAAGAAGGAGAGAUUGAUUGAUGAGAUUUUUUGUUCAUGUUCUUGAUGUUCUUGUACCGACUGAGAAGCAAAAAUGGAAAAUGAUGGUCCUGAGGUAUUUGGGCAGUGACUUGGGAUCCUUUUAUAGGCUUUGUGGACCAUAAUAUUAUCUCUUUCCUGUUUGAGGUUUAGCUGUUAAGCCUGAAAAGCGGGAAGAAGAAGAAGUAGCUGGAGAAGAUGAGUCAUGGAUUGGGUUUUGGGUUUUGGGCUUGUGUUCUUUGAAAUGAUUUUUUGAUUUUCAUUUUGGGAAAUGGAGUGGACAUUUGGGGAGGUAAACCCCCAUUCAAAUCAAUUUUGCCCAUGGUGGAUGAUGAUGUGCUGUGGGUUUUUGAUGAAAGAAGGAAAAAUCCAAUUUUUGUCUGUAAAAAGCGUUAAUUUUAGGUGGUAGAAAAGGUCGGCUUUUAGAAUUGUAAAAUAUCAGUCCUCAGACUAUUAUGGCAUUCUACCCAUUUUUCCUGGGAAAAAAAGAUGUCUUCUAUUGGAGUUCUAGGAAUAAUGACAGAUUGGAUAUUAGAAAAACAAUUGGAACAUUUGUGUUUUGUCUUUCUGAUUUGAUUUUACUUUUGGCUAAAUAGCAUCAAAGCUACUGGCUUAAAUUUUAAGCAUUUCACUUCAUAAAUUAUAGUUGCUCUUUUCUUUUUGUUCUUUAAAUUUUGGAUUUUUAAUUUUCCAAUUUGAGAGAAUUUUAUAUUCAAAUUAGCAAACCAAUUGAGCAUCAUUUUUUUAGUACAAUCGAUAAUCUAAACUAAUUACAAGCUGUAGUUUAAACUACAAGGGAGGGGAUUUCUUACAUACACACAACUAUGAUGUCAUUCGGGUUUGAAUAUGAGACCUCUGGUUUGCAAGUCAAAGUCGUUUUUUUACUAGCUUAGACUCUGUUGACAUUAUCGUUGUUUUUUAAAAGAAAAAAACAAGAAAAAGGCAAAAGAUGAUCUAGAAAAUAUUGAUUAUAAAAAAGGAACUUUUUUGGUUCUUUUACAAAUGAAUGUGCAAACCGACUGUUGUUUGGUUCUUGGCUCAAACGACACGUCGUGUUUAGCGUCUUGUACACGAGUUUUUAUCAUAUUUAGCUAAAAUUUAGCCCUAAAAUUCAUAAAUGUUAAUUUUUAAAAAAACUUUCAAAUAUAGCCAAAAACUCACUUCAAUUGACCCAAAUGUCCUUUAAUUUAAAUCUCAAUUACACCUAAAACCCAAAAUAGCAUGAGCUCUAAAACAAAAUUGGCUUCGUCAACUCAGUCAUAUAUGCCUAUGAAUCCUAUCAUAAAUUUAUAAUUUAAAAAAAGGUUAAAAGGCAGUUUCUUGACAUAAUAAUUUUUAAUUGAAAAAAACAGAGUGGAACUUUCUUGCAAAAUUCGUAUCAUAAAUGAAUAAAUUUGUUUUUGGUCCGCAUUUGAUGUGGGGAUUAAACUUUCUUGCAAACCAGCAUAUGUGCUUCUGCCUUCCCUCAGCACAAGAACUCCAGAAAAAUUGCAAGGCAAACUAUCUGCCACGACACAAACUUGCCUAUAUUAACUUUGCUUUCCCUUAUACCUUUAUCAAACAAAAAUAAUAAUAAAAUGAAAUGGAAAAAAAAAGAGUAAAAAAAAUAAAUAUACAUCUAGUGUGGGUGCAUGUAAAACAUGAUAUUGUCGAUACUUGUUUUCCAUGAAAUGUAUGUAUCCAAACCCUUAAAAACUGCUGCAAAGAAAAUCCAUUAAGGGCGAUUGACAAGGGACGGUGUCCUUGUGUUUGAGGGUAGGGUGGGGGAGAGCGAGGCUUAGCCCCCUUGUGCUCAGUACUCUGCCGACGAUUUGGAAGAACAUGACAAUUAGCUCUUUUUCUUUUUGUAAGGUUUUAAUUUAGAGGUAUUUGGGACAAUUUAAGUGAGUUUUUGGAUAUAUUUGAAAGUUUGUUUAAAAAACUCCUUGUACACAGUACGCAUUUCCACCGAUAUGCUAAAACCCCUGCUCAGAGAGAGUACACGCCCAUCUUCACAUUCUUCCUCAGUUCUCAGUCUGAUAGAUUGAUCUUCUGGCGACCUUACUUGCCUCUGUCUCUUCCUCCUCCUCUUCUUCGUCUGUGGCACCAGCCAUUCUCAGACUCUCAAUGGCGGCCACGAUCGCCUUCAACGCCGUUGGAGCUUCGGGUCGACUCUCCCGCCAAUUAUCUCACCCACGAAGCUCCUAUCCACUUCUCGGCAGGAUCCGACUGCAUCGCGUUGCCCCGACCCGAUUUUCGAGAUCCUCAUCCUCCUCCUCUGGCUCUGGUAAAUGAAUCGCUUUUUCUUGUUAUGGUAAAUUGAAGUUUACAUCAGAACAAUUUGGUGAUGUUUUAAUGGAAAUGUAAUCAAAUAGCAGGAAUUAGGGCGCAGGUGGCGGCCGUCGAGCAAUCGAGCGCUGCUGUAGCUCAGAACGUGGAGGCUCCUGUGGUUAUCGUCACUGGAGCUUCUAGAGGAAUUGGCAAAGCUGUUGCGCUCGCUCUCGGCAAGUCUGGUUGUAAGGUCAUCAUCAUCAUCAUUCAUCAUUCACCAUUCAAUUGCUUUCUUCGAUGAGGCAUGACCAUAGGCUUCAUUUCACUGUUACAGGUUCUGGUAAACUACGCAAGGUCAUCUAAGGAAGCUGAAUUAGUUUCCAAGGAGGUACCUUUUUUGUUAAAAUAAUGGCCUUCAUGAAAUGCAUAUAUUGAAAUCAGUUCAUAGUUGAAAUAUUUGGUUUUAAUUAUAUCCCGCAUUUUAAACAUGUUUUAUUGCGGUUUAAAUGCUGCAGAUUGAGGCAUCUGGUGGUCAAGCUCUGACAUUUGGGGGUGAUGUUUCAAACGAAGAAGAUGUAGCGGCAAUGAUUAAAACUGUACGCAAAUGCGCUCUUUUAUGCUAACUACAUUUUUUUUUUGUGUGGUUGCAAUUAUCGCUAGCAACGUGACAUCUUUUCAAUCAAAUGAAUAUAGGUGGUUGAUGCAUGGGGAACAGUUGAUGUGUUGGUUAAUAAUGCUGGUCAGCAUCAUAUUACUUCUUGUAUUUAAGCUUCUUAUCUUGACUUUCCUUUCAAUUUCAAUUGACACAGUCCUUUUCAGGAAUAACACGGGAUGGCUUGUUGAUGAGAAUGAAAACAUCCCAAUGGCAGGAGGUUAUUGAUUUGAAUCUUACUGGCGUGUUUCUGUGCACACAGGUGUGUAGUUUAGGGCAUAUGUUGAUCUAGUAAUUGUAGUUGUUCAAGCUUAGAAUUGUCUGAUCUUUUUAGCAUGGUUUGUGCUUUUUGCAGGCUGCAGCGAAAGUUAUGAUGAAACAGAGAAAGGUAAUCAAAUUCUGUCUUCCUUUCUUGUAUUAUGUCAAUGUGAAAAUCCUAUUUUGCUUCUAGAUCCUUAGUCUGUUCAUCAUAUUUCAGGGAAGAAUAAUCAAUAUAGCAUCUGUUGUUGGUCUUGUUGGCAAUGUUGGACAAGCCAACUACAGUGCUGCAAAGGCUGGAGUAAUUGGCUUUACGAAGAGUGUCGCCAAGGAAUAUUCAAGCAGGAGCAUUAAUGUAUGUGCAUGUGAUUCAAGGUUUUUAAUUAAUUAAUUUUAUUAUCUGUUUUCGGUGUGUGGGGCUUCCCUGCUAAUACGUGUAACCCCACUCCACACUUAGCAAUGGCUAUGUGGUUUGUUUCAUGACAUUCAACAUUCAAGCAGAUAUAUUUUUAAAUUUCUUGCAUAUUUCCAGUCUUACGUGGUGGGCCUAAAGCAAUUAUCCAUCUAAAGCUUUCUUUUUUUCCAUAGGUCAAUGCUGUAGCACCUGGUUUUAUUGCAUCUGAUAUGACUGCCAAGCUUGGAGAAGACAUAGAAAAGAAGAUCUUGGGAACCAUCCCCCUAGGUGAGAAUAGUCAGUUGGCUACUAGUUAUUUAAGCAUUAUUAUCAAAAUCUAUCGUAGUUAAUGUGAAUUAUUGAGAGACUACUCGUGUUGGUUAUAUAACUUAGAUGAGAGAUAUAAAUGUUAUUGAGUCAUUGGAUUGGGAUGAUUGAAAUUUGAUUGAUUCUCUAAUUCUUCCUCCCUGGUUUGCCUAAACUUAAAGCCUGAUAUUUGAAGACUCACAUAUAAAUUAGAGAAAAUAAAUCAGUUUUAUAAUUCUUUCAGGGCGAUAUGGUCAACCUGAAGAAGUCGCAGGACUGGUGGAAUUCUUAGCGCUCAAUCCCGCUGCCAGUUACAUUACUGGACAGGUAAAUUUUUAUUAGAAAUCUGAUAAUUUUUCCUUGGACAAAUGGGAAAUGGCACCAUUUGAGCUGUCAAGUUUUGCACUGGUCCAUUGUAGGUAUUGACCAUUGAUGGAGGGAUGGUGAUGUGAGAGGCCAAGUCCUGCACCCCACGAGCUUCAUCUUACAGAAGGUUUUAAAUGACGCUUCAUCUUACAGAAAGUUUCAAACGAAGAGGCAUUUCUUUAUAUUCCAUUCUUGACCGGCUUCUAGUUUCAAACUGAAUAGAAGAGUAGAAGGAUAAUAUAUAUAUAUAUAUAUUUUUCGUUUAGCAAAGGUUGUUAAAAUAUAUUCUGUGACACUUGUGAACAGUGUAAGAGAAAAAAAGACUUGAUAGGAAUUAUUUUUGUGUAGUGGUUUCAGUCUCCAGAUGAUACUAAAGCGUUCUACUUUACUAGUUUAAAUUUUCAGGCUGUGUAUCGUUUAUAUGGGUUGCAUAUGAAGUCUUUUGUUAUUCUCUGUGUGGAGGUAGAAAAUCUGAAGCCUGUAGGCUUGCUUUUAACCACUUUGUAAAGCUAUUGGUCGAAAGGCCACAUAGCCCUCCUUUGGGUUUGGACAAAUCUUUUAACCACUUUGUGGAUAGUAUCAUAACAUGGAUGUUAACUUUAAUUAGGAUUCCUAUACAUCUUAAGACUCUUUAUGUUUCUCUAAUAUAAUUUGUAAUAUAUUUUCAUUUCUAGUAAUGAUUUUUGGUUCUUCUUGGGAUUUGCAUAAUUAUUAGACUAUGUAUGAAUAAUUAAAUAUUGGAUAUGGAAUUUGGUAGUAAAAUUCAUUGGUACAUAUUUCACCACUUACUUCUGCUCUCGUCUCUUGCUCUCUAUCACUGAAUCAAUCUCUCUUCUUUUAGGGUUUAGGUUACCUGAUAAAAGCAUUUUUAUUAAUGUAUGUCUAGAUUGAUGAUAUAUGUAUAUAUUGGCCUGGUAUUGACAUUGACAAAUGUUUCCACUUUUGAACCCGCUCCUCUAAUAGUCUUUUACACUCUUAAAGGGUUUGCUGUUCCUGUGACAUCCUGACCCAAAAAUAAAAUGAAAUGUGAAUUUAAUUAAUUUCAGGAAUUUUUUUGAAUUUAUAAUUUUGCCAUCAGAGGUAUUUUGAUCAUUUUAUUAAUUCAGAAGAUUUCGGGGCAGGGACUGAUAUUUUUGUGUAAAUCGUAUCGAGAUGAGUAUCGAGACGAGUCAGUUACGGUCAAAACAAGUUCAAUGGCAUAACCGUAAUUUUUUUGAAGUGUGUUUUUAUUAAAUCUGAAACCCUACUCUCUCUUCUCUCCUGCGAACAGAACAUCUCCCCCCCCUCUGCUUUUUUGGCUUGCGACGGCAGCAAAUUCCCACCGUCGCCACCGCCACCAUACGCCGCCACUUGGGGCGGCACCGGUCCCGUUAGAACCGCCUCACUUCCCUCUUCGAUUCCCGACCGGUCCCAGCCUCGAUGUGCCUUCGUGGUCGCCGGAAACAGCCCUGAAACAGACCGGAUUUUUGACAGAUUUUCUCAAGCUCGUUUCGGGUGAUUCCGGCCACCAUUUCGGACGAUCCAGGUAUGAUUUUUCAACCUCUCGACGUGUUCUAGCUGCUGGUUGUGUUAGUUUUGAGAAAUUUCUGCGUUUAGCAAAUCAAACUAUACGGAUGCUAGAAUUCGAACUUAAAAUUUUGUCUAAAAGAAUAAAUACUCUAAAUCACAAUAUUAGUGAGUCUUUUGCAUGUAUAUUGUGUUUUUAAAAAAAUGGGGAACUAGGGCUUGUGAUGGUAAAUAUCUCAAUCUUAGAGACCAACCGGAACAAUGAAGCUAGAUGGUAGGCUGUAUGUUGGUCAUGUGCAUGGUGGUCGGUGCACCACCUGAACUGCGCAGAUUAUUUAGGCUAUAAUUAAGUUUGAUCAAUCUAUGCCUAACAGCAUUUAAGGGACUCAACUGUAACACCGACUUGCUCUCCCCAACUCCUACGCACGUGUUUGGCUCAUGUAAACUUUCUGUUCCCACCUGAAUUCACAUGUGUUUAAUAGGUGGUUACAUUUUCUUUUACCAUGUUACCAAGGUAAUUAUACUCACCUUAAUAUUAAUAGUUAAUGUAAUAAGUACACAUUAAUCCACAUGCUAGCCAUAGAUAACGAGUUUAUACAUAUAAUAUCAAUAGAUAAAACAUAACGAGUGAAGUGUAAACACUAUAUGAUAGUGUGACAAAUUUCACUCAAAAAUUACUCAUCAACACCAACAUAUUCAUCCAAUGAUCCGAUGAUAAGUCUUGUCACUCGACCUUCCAUUCACCCAAUUUCCUCUCUAUAUAAAUCACCAGACUAUGUUGCCUUACUACUCACCCAAGUCCCCAAACUAAUCAAGUGAAAUUUUCAUACACAAUUUUUUCUCUGAGCAUCAAAGUCAUUAUUUAUGGCUAGCUAUGCAUUGAUUAAGCUUGCUGUGUUUGUGGCCUUGUGCAUGGUGGUGAGUGUACCCAUAGCCUAUGCCAUAACAUGUGACCAAGUGUCCCACAACCUCGUUCCAUGCCUAGACUACUUGAGGAAUUGCGGUGCUGUCCCUGAACCUUGUUGCAGAGGAAUUAGCAACCUCAAUGACUUGGGAAGAACCACCGCUGAGCGCCGGACCAUUUGCAAUUGUCUGAAACAGAAUGCUCCUAGCUUGACCGGAGUUAAUCCAACCUUGGCAGAAGAGCUUCCCGCCAAGUGUGGAGUCAAUGUUCCUUACAAGAUUAGCCCCAACCCAAACUGCGCAAAGUACGUAUCAAAAACCCCACAGUGCUCAACUAGGGUUGCCUCAAAAUUUAAUCUAAUUUGACUGCCAACCAUUGCAUUUUGAUGUAACGGUUUUAUGUCAUCGAAACUCCAAAUUAAUUUGGUUUGCCACCAAGUGCUUCUUCAAAAAUUACUUUCAAAGUAACGCUUCUAUAAUUUAUAAGCGCUUUUAACUUAAUUUGCCAAACGUUUUGUCGUUAUUUGAUAGCGGUUUUAGUCAUUUUCAGAAACACUCGAAGAAUCCACUAGGUUUAUAAUCAAUUCCGAGUAUAUAAAUUUGGGUUGGCCCAUUUUAUUUUUGGGUGAGCGUUGGUCCAUUUAAGACAAGUGUUUUAUUAAUAGCCCAAACUCCAAUACGCAGCUGAAAACAUUAAUUAUUGGACACACCGCAGUGAUCUAGAAAGAAAAAGAUGCGCUGAGCUGGCAGCUCCAUAUCUACCACGUGUGAAAGUAGUAGAUGGCUUCCGGCGUCAUGUGGCGGUAAAAAGUCAAACGCAACACGUGGUCGACACCGCCAGUUACUUUCUCAAAUUGGCCACAACAGUUUUCUCGUUGGCAAGUGAUCGUAAAUAUACUCGCUUCUCAACGAGGCCACGCUUCCGCGUAACGUGACAUGGAAGCAUGCACGAGCAACAUAGCGAGUGUUAGUAGUUUAUAUACUCGAGCGAGUACGGUUUUAUCUGAUUCUCAAUUAUUGGAUUUUAUAAUGGGCUUCUGGGCUGCAAGUUUAAUUUAAUCAACAUGUCUAAGUGGUAAAAGAAAGCCGUCAGAUCUGAAUCUUGCGUGUGCUAAUAUGUUCAAACAGGAGCCGUUGGAUUAUCCAACACGCUGAUGAACGGCUAAGAUUCCUUUUUCAGCGGCGGUCUUUGAGGCCUCUCGGGCCUUUAAAAGGAGGUCAGAGGGGAGAGCACAUACUCAUCUAAGGCUUAAGAUCUCUCUCUUUCUCUCUCCUCCUCUUCCUAUCUCCCUCUCUUUUCUCUCUCUAUUCGACGAAGGGCUCUAGGGUUUGAGGCGCGUUUCAACGGCUCUGCAACGAGAUCGAGGUUUUGAAUUGGGUUCCUGCGAAGCAGUUCUAGGGUUUUGUUUUACCAAGCGCAUUCUAUUGGUCGUCACGCCCAUUCAUUUUAGCUUCGGCUUUGGCCCAUCCAUCGCGAUCUAGGGUUUUCAACCUGGGGGUUUAUAUAGAGAGAGACCCAGUUUAGGUUUUGCUCGUGUAAGUCUUUAAAUUAUUUUUUCUUCCUUGCAUUUAUAUGAGCUCUCUAUUUCUUAAAGGAGCUUUUUAUCUGAAAAGGGGGGUAUUGAGAGAUUGAGCAAUUGGAAUUACUUUCUUUUGGGUUAGUGGUUGAAUACGAGUGUUUGAAGAUUCCCAUUGCUUAGAUUGAGUUGGGGAAUCUAUCAAUUCUUUGGUGCUUAACCUAAUCCCUCAUUUAGAUCAUUAUCAGAAAUUUUUGUUCUUUUGCAUAUUGGCAACUGCGGCUUUUGAAUUUGAGCAUUGAUUGGACAUCAAAUAAACUGAAAUUUUGACCUUUGACGUAUUCCUUGAACUCGAACGCUUGGCGGGAAGUAAACAGGAAGAAGGAUCAUAUCAACAAUUGGUUAAUGUUGGAAAGUUUGGGGUUUUAAGUUUGAAAUUCUAUCGCCCUUGUCUUGGUGGCUACACCUCUUUGUUGUGUAUGUUGCUUGCUUGAUAGGUUAUGUUUUGCAUUGCCAUAGUGUAAACUGGAACAUGGUCUUCGCAACAAUUAAAGAAAAUAAGUGAAAUUCAAUUGUACCGAGUAGUAAUUAAUGCUUUAGAACCUUUGCCUUGGUUGCAGCACCUCGUUGUUGUGUAUGUUUCAGUUUGAGACACUUUUUUAUGUGAAUCCAUUAGUUCUACAUUGAGUUGAUAUCAUUGAAUUUGCAUGUCUUUUUAGGAGUAAGAGGUGGCAUCUUAAUCAUUCUGAAACUGGUAUUUCUGAUAUACAAUAGUACAUGUAAUUUCAAUGGCUC
rnacentral:lncRNA from 1 species